GACCGCGUAGCUCAGUUGGCAGAGCAUUGGGCUGGUAUUCCAAAGGUCGUAGGUUCGAAUCCCGCCGUGGCCA